UCUAAGAUGGCGAGGAUAUUGAUGACACGUUGAAUUUUCUUGCGAUUGAAUAUAAAAUUUGUGAUGUUUUUUAAAAUGUUCCGUGUAUGACUAUGUGUAUAUGUGUGUUUGUGUUGUGAGUUGAUUGCUGCAUAUGAACUGAUAUUUAGCCGAUAGCAACGUGAAAUAUCAGUGAUCCAUCUCGGUGCGCGCGCAUAAUUAGACUGAGUUAUCGGCGCCAGAUUCGGGGACAAUGGCUGUAUAAAUAUUCUCGUCGGGAGCGGUCCACGUACGUGGGCAGAUGCGUCUUGCGGAUACAGGGUGGUCCUGACUAAAUGCAACGUGGAUCAGAACAAGGCCGACUCGUAACGAGCGCGUCGCGAAGCGCCUGUUACGGCCACGCUUGAUGCACGACGAUCUGUCGCGUUUUUGACGCGAGUCGUUACUUGCCACUUCUCAGGCCAUCGCCGAAUUCUCUUGCGUUUCGUGUACGCGUUGCGAUUCCACGAUCUUUCGUCGAUCCUUGUCAUCUAACAAUUCUUCUAACCAGCAAAAUAAUAGUGUCUCACGUGUCUUCAAUAAAUCCAAGAUAUUAACGGAUCAAAGACCUGUGAUAUUCUUGUAAGUAGUCCCGCAAAGUAUUACUCUGUUUAUUAGAGUGCUGAGAAGAACUUAAAAACUUGAAAUAGGUUGGAAAUGAUCUGCUGAGAAAAUAAUCGUUUAAUAACUUCAUCGAUAGCUUCACUACUUCUUAAAUAUAAGUUACGCUAUCAACAACUGUAUUUGCAAUCUUCAAGGUGUUAAAAGUUAUGUAGAAAUCUAAUUCCAUUCUCGCAACGAGAACCACCAACGAGAUAGUGAACUGAUCGACAUAUGGAAGAAAGAAAAGCUGCAACCAUUAAUAAACGUGCAACACGACAUCGUAGGUGGGAUGGUAACUCAUGCUGGGACCGGAAGAGGAACGCGGUUAUAAAAUAAAUGUAACGAGUCCUGUUCGAUAGUAAAAGGCUAAUGAGAAUAGCACCUUUGAUGAACACCUUCUGGAUUUUGACCAGUAAAUGCGCAGUACGAGCAUGCGGGUGUGAGACCUUCCUCCCCUUGACUCGGUGUCAAUUUCAAUUGUCCGUUGAAGAGAUUGAUACGGGCGAUUUUGGCUGGCUGAUAGCAGUGUCAUUCAACGACAGGAGCACGUCUACCAUAAAUGCAGAAAACGUCGUUUCUGUACCGGAGGACUCGAGAGAAGUUUAUGGGCACGUUUUUGGUGGCCGCUUUCGGGGAACGAUGAUUUGGGUAAUUCUCGUUGGACGGAAGAUUUCGGGGCCCGAUUAAGCGGAACGACUGAUGAAGAGACUUGGAAAUCCAGCUCUCCGGCUGAAAGAUUUAGGAGACUAAAUCCAGAAGAUGGCAACAAAAAAGAGAAAAAUCAGGUCCAAAAGUCAGAAUAACUGUUCAAGAAACGUGAUUCUGCUUCAAAACAAGAGCUUCAUUUCGACAAAAAGAUACGCUGCAACAGCAGCGACUACGCUUGAAAACAAGAGUUUCCUUCAAGCAAAGAAUACAGAACCUUAUUAGGAAAUGGACCAAAUGCGCUUCGGAACUUCAGCGAGAUUAUGCAAGAAACUGACCCACAUUUCAAUCGCGAAAUUAACAAAUGCAAAGAUACAUAGAAUAUGUUAAAAUAUGAAAAAUAUUCAAAGCAGCAAUAUGAAUCUUUAUUUAGGUGCCAUUUCUUUGAAAUUGUGUUUAUAUCUAUAAAGAUACGAUCUCUGAUACUCAUUCCAUCUUACGAUACUUUCUAUGAAACAAGGAACAGAUGAUCGAAAUUCGAAUGACAGACUGUAUUUCCAAGGAAGUACAUUCGAUUAACCGCAAAAAUCACGACCAAUGAUAGCGAGUGUCAACGUAAGGGAGAUAAUGCCCAGAUACGUAUCGAGCAAGCGCUGCACGUAAUGACGAGCACGAAUGCACGUAACAUGGAUGCGCGCGAUACAACUCGGCCCGGAUAUCGUAGUGGGCGCACAUGUGCAUCGGUGAUGUUUCGAGCUAGAACGAUUUCGGAGCGUCGAAUUACGCGGCACCGGGUGCACGUGCAGUAGGCGCCUAUUGCACAAAUCACACGCAUUAUUGACUACCUUUGUAUUUCUCCGGCCGACGCGCCAUUGUCCGUGUCACGUGCGUUUCCUUCUCUAAGUAGCACAAAUAAACCGAGAAAAUUUGCUUUAUGUACUUAAAAUCAUCUGCAAUUUCAAUUAACGUUUUAGACAGUUCUCUUCGAUAGAAUAUAAAUCCACUUACAUAUUGGACCAUUUAGAAGAAAAUUAGUAUAAUGAUAGUAACUAAAAUCUCACAAAAGUAUUCGAGAUCUGUGUGUAAAAUUAAUGAACACAGAUUAUUGAAAUUAUUUCAGAAUACAAUUAAAGUACACAGCAGAAAUGUUGCAAGUUUCAAAGAAUUGGCGAUCUUGCAAAGUGGCUAUCAAUGGAACUGAACAUAUAUAGCAGAAGAUUCAGGGUGGUCAGUGAAAGUGGUCCAUGUCCCCAGUGGCCUCGAAAUCUCAACUAGAAACCUCGGUACCCAAGACUGGCGCCAGACUUGUCUGCAUCUGUUUGGAAGAUGAAGUAUCUGGCUGGCUUUUCCUGCCUCCAAAUCCGUUGAGAAGUGUUCGACCUGCAAACCGGCUUCCGUUCGACCCUCCAAAGACGAACACUCGAAGGGUACUCGAUCCAUCGACAAACCUAUCGUCCGACUUGCAAGUCACACAGAGAGACAGACAGCCGGUCGUGUUUUCUUUCGAACGAGAUCCUCGGGAGAGGGAAGUUUAUUUACGCGUAUCAAGCCUCCUGCCGUCUUUACGAUCGUCCACGAUAUGCUUCGUGUUAACCGGAUCUCUGUUAAUGGUUCAACGUGUUUUCACAGAGCAAACGGAAGCCUGCUGCUGCUCUUUACCAUUUGACAUUUAGAAACUGGGAAUUAUUAGCGAUGUGCUAUCAUUGCAAACGAUCGACUGUGAAUAAAGUUGUAUCUUGAAGUCGUCUUAGGCUGAAACUUUAAGUAUUUCAUUUCAUUUUUGUUUGAUUAUUAAUGUGCGUUGGGAAAAUAUACGGACAAUACUAAAAUUUUAAAGAGUCAUUGAUCAAAUUGAAAUUAUUUCUUUGAAGUAAUUUUGGUGGUUAUUUCCAUUCAUCUAAGCUUCUAUGUAUUAGGUUGUCAGAAAAGUUUCUUUCGUUUUAUGAGGAAAUAAUAGACACACAAAGUUUUUUGUUUUAUAUUAUUUUGUCGAAUUACGUACGAUCCAUUUUGUUUUGUUGAGAUAGACACUACAACAUUUCACAGACGUGGUUUCACGUUUGUAUGAAGGUGCAUUGUUGUAAAAAACACGUUUGCAAAAGGAAGACACUUUCCGGACAAUCUAAUAUAUACACCUAAUACGCGUGUAUUCAAUUCCUUUGAUCGAAAUAUGAAGGAAAAAUAAAAUUAUAAUUGGGAUGUUGAAGCCACUACUUAAUUGCUAAUUAAUUACGAAUUAAAUAUUUAUUUUCCUUAGUAUAUAGGUAUAACUCCACCUGCCAUGCAGGACUUUAUCGAAGAAACAUGUCUGUAUAUAGAAAUUACAAGCUAGUAUAAAUCGAAGUCAAGAGUUGCCCUAACCUGUCUCAAACGAGACAGGGGCUUCCACGUCGACUUAAGAAAACUACCAGCCCUUCAUGGAUGUUUCGAGUGGCUCGACUCGAUCUGUCAUGUUUACACGAGAUCGUGUAUACCCGAUACAACCCCUCACUAAACUAGAUGAUGUUUGUUUAAAGUCCCCCAGCUCUUCUGCUAGAAUAGACGUCGAUUCAUCGCAUCUAAAGGUCCUCGUAAGCCUAAGUAAAUGAAAUUACUAGUUUGGAAGUACUAGCCAUUCCAGGUUUUCGACGAUGUCGGAUAUCUUAAUUUCUCAUUUGCAUCUUUUGAUUUCACUUUAUUAGAUUGCAAAAAGAUUCGUAGAUUAGCUUUCGAUCGGUGAAAGAAAAUAUAAACUUAAGAAAAUACACGUAAAUGCUAAUCGUCAUAUUUACAAACCACAGUACAAAACCUUCACUCAAAAUUAAAGACCUUGAAUUGAAAAGAAGGUUUUUAUUCAGGAAGGAAUUACAAAUUUAAGAAAGAAACAAAAUCUCUGAUUAGGAUAUUUUACUAAAAAAAAAAAAAAUUAAAAUAGAAAUCAUCGUCGAAUAUUUCCAAAACAUCUUUCCUUCCAAAAAUCUUCAUAAUAAUUUUUUUACUACCUUAUACUUUUAUAAUUUUAAACACAUUGAGGACGAUAUCUAAUAAUUACUAUGAAAAAUUUGAUGGUGCCUUAGUAAACUGAAUACAAUGCUGGAAAUGAUCACUGACACAUUAUAUAUAUAUAUAUAAAUUUCGAACAUUAAAACAAAGAUCGUAUACACUAUGUUAUGUCAUAUAUAUAUUUUGUUAUGUUAGUGCAAUAAUAUUACUCAAGAAGUAGGAACUUGGUAUAAAUUUCAACAGCACGAUCGGUACUGAUUGCAUCCAUUCCUCUUUCCACACGGAAUGCUAUUCAGGCGACUUUCUGUAUUACUCUGGCUUCCUCGUGAAAACUUGUUAGACGUUGAUCGCCUAGCUCGUCAGAGGGUUAACCUUCUGCGAUCUAACUAUGCCUCCUAGGCGAUAGCGGUGUCAGAUAUUAUCAUUCAAAUGUAUCUUUCAGUUUCAGACUGGUUACUUGUGAAUCACUCUAUAUAAUCGAAAUACAGUGAGCUAUUAUGAGAAUGAACGAUAUUACAGUGAACUGUUUUUGUCGAUAAAAUCAGGAUCCUGAAGAAAAACAGAUUCUGUAACGAUAGCUAUCUAUUUCUUUUCAUGCAGGUUAUAUAUGUCUUUUUACUAAAGAAGGUUUGUAAUAAAAGCUAAAUAAAUUGAUCCCAUAUUACUUUUA